AACGCACCUUGCGCUCCUUGGUAUUCCGAGGAGCAUGCCUGUUUGAGUGUCAUUAAAUUCUCAACCCUUAUUAGCUUUAUGCCGAUAAAGGGCUUGGAUGUGGGGGUAUCUUUUUGCUGGCUUCAUUAGAUGGUCAGCUCCCCUAAAAUGCAUUAGCUGGUGCCCUACGUGGACUGUCUAUUGGUGUGAUAAUUAUCUACGCUGUGGACGUCUACACUUAUAUGGGUUUGCGCUGCUUCUAACUGUCCGUUCAUUCAGACAAUACAUGACCAUUUGACCUCAAAUCAGGUAGGACUACCCGCUGAACUUAA
rnacentral:rRNA from 1 species